AGAGUCACUCCUACGGGAGGCAGCAGUGGGGAAUUUUGGACAAUGGGCGAAAGCCUGAUCCAGCAAUGCCGCGUGUGUGAAGAAGGCCUUCGGGUUGUAAAGCACUUUUGUCUGGAAAGAAAUCCUUGGUUCUAAUACAGCCGGGGGAUGACGGUACCGGAAGAAUAAGCACCGGCUAACUACGUGCCAGCAGCCGCGGUAAUACGUAGGGUGCGAGCGUUAAUCGGAAUUACUGGGCGUAAAGCGUGCGCAGGCGGUGAUGUAAGACCGAUGUGAAAUCCCCGGGCUUAACCUGGGAACUGCAUUGGUGACUGCAUUGCUCGAGUAUGGCAGAGGGGGGUGGAAUUCCACGUGUAGCAGUGAAAUGCGUAGAGAUGUGGAGGAACACCGAUGGCGAAGGCAGCCCCCUGGGCCAAUACUGACGCUCAUGCACGAAAGCGUGGGGAGCAAACAGGAUUAGAUACCCUGGUAGUCCACGCCCUAAACGAUGUCAACUGGUUGUUGGGGAUUCAUUUCCUUAGUAACGUAGCUAACGCGUGAAGUUGACCGCCUGGGGAGUACGGUCGCAAGAUUAAAACUUAAAGGAAUUGACG
rnacentral:rRNA from 1 species